rnacentral:rRNA from 2 species
AUGGCUCAGGACGAACGCUGGCGGCGUGCCUAAUACAUGCAAGUCGAGCGAACAGAAGGGAGCUUGCUCCCGGAUGUUAGCGGCGGACGGGUGAGUAACACGUGGGUAACCUGCCUGUAAGACUGGGAUAACUCCGGGAAACCGGAGCUAAUACCGGAUAGUUCCUUGAACCGCAUGGUUCAAGGAUGAAAGACGGUUUCGGCUGUCACUUACAGAUGGACCCGCGGCGCAUUAGCUAGUUGGUGGGGUAAUGGCUCACCAAGGCGACGAUGCGUAGCCGACCUGAGAGGGUGAUCGGCCACACUGGGACUGAGACACGGCCCAGACUCCUACGGGAGGCAGCAGUAGGGAAUCUUCCGCAAUGGACGAAAGUCUGACGGAGCAACGCCGCGUGAGUGAUGAAGGUUUUCGGAUCGUAAAGCUCUGUUGUUAGGGAAGAACAAGUGCGAGAGUAACUGCUCGCACCUGACGUACCUA